rnacentral:lncRNA from 1 species
CAAUUCGCACCCUAGGUCGCUCUAUUCUUCGAAUAUAAAAGAAUGACAACUUCAUCAAGUCGUCAGAAUUUUCUAUUCUGGACGUGUGCACCGGACCCUACCCAAAUGAACGCUGUGGUAGUCCUUCUUUUUACCGUCUCUGCCAUACUUAUAAAUGAGUGCUACAGUGAUGGCGAUCCGACUACACCCAUCCCAAAUGGCCAGUGUGUAAAUGCGACAUGUGAACGGAAACUCAACCACUUGGGAAACCGAAUGACAACCGAAUGUCCUCAGGGCUGUUUAUGUGUCAUCAGAGAAGCCGAAAAUACGGU